rnacentral:misc_RNA from 1 species
AUUCAACCAAAUAAUUAAUCAAUCACUUUUCGUUAUCACAAAGAUACGGCAGUUGUUUUAUUUUUUUUUUAUUUGUGGUUGAAUUGGCCCGAAAAAUAAAUGAGGCAUAAUUUUUCAAGAAAUAGAAGUGUUCCUUUUCAAUACCUGCGCAAAAUCCCAUAUAUAUGUAUAUAAUACAAAAGUAUCUUUUUUCUAACGUUGGGGAAAAAAAUUUAAAAAUAGGCGAUUAAUUAAUUAAUUAUAUUAUAAUGCCCACGACCCUGUUGAAUAUGUUAUAUCUAAAAUUACGAUAAUAAAAAUAAAUCUAUUUGAAUGCAAACAACGUAUCUUACGAAUACAGUUUAGUUAUUAGUGAGUACAGAAGUGUUUUGCGGUCUUGAAAUGCUACAGCUCAAUUUAUUAUUAGAGGUGAUAACAUGACACUUGAAAAGGACUUAAAUUUGGAUGUAGAGAAGGAACGAAAAGUAAGACUGUGCGUUGAAAAUUACUAUUUGGCGAUAUUUUCUUCAGAGAACGUUCGGGGUUGUCCUAAUAAAUUCGACGAGCACAUAAACUGUUUUAGCUCUUCUUGUGAAAAUAAGAGCCGAUAAAGAUGAUCUAAGUCUAGUUUACAUUUAUGGUAUAAAAUCGGGACUGUAUUUGACCAUGGUUGGCGAAAAAGGACACGUUAAGGGUGUGAAAAAUAAAAGUAAAGCCAGUAUAUUUAAAGAACAAUACGCCCAAUCAUGGAUCGAUAACACUGUACAAUCAGUGAAUUAUCUAACAUACGAAUGCAUGAGAGAGAAAAUAAAAACAGGCUGGUUCAUUAGCGUUACCAUCGAAGGUUCGAUUAGAAAUGGAUCUCACUCGACAAAAGAAUUUAUUUGCGAUCUUGCGAAAAAAACAAACGACAACAAAAUAAUAGAACGACGACAGGCCGAAAUGAAAUUUUUGCAAGAUUGCGUUACCCUUUGAUCGGUAAAACGCCGUAGGGAGCCUACAAAUUAAAUUAAGUAUUUAAAUUAUGUUGUGAUGUAUGAA